rnacentral:rRNA from 1 species
GUAGGGAAUAUUGGGCAAUGGUCGGAAGACUGACCCAGCCAUGCCGCGUGCAGGAAGACGGCCCUCUGGGUUGUAAACUGCUUUUAUCUGGGAAGAAAAAGGCCAUGCGUGGCAAAUUGCCGGUACCAGAUGAAUAAGCACCGGCUAACUCCGUUCCAGCAGCCGCGGUAAUACGGAGGGUGCGAGCGUUGUCCGGAUUUAUUGGGUUUAAAGUGUGCGUAGGCGGCUGAUUAAGUCAGCGGUGAAAGACUUCGGCUUAACCGGAGCAGUGCCGUUGAUACUGGUUGGCUUGAGUGUCGGAGGGGUACAUGGAAUUGUUGGUGUAGCGGUGAAAUGCAUAGAUACCAUCAGGAACACCUAUAGCGAAAGCAUUGUACUCGCCGACAACUGACGCUGAUGCACGAAAGUGUGGGGAUCGAACAGGAUUAGAAACCCCAGUAGUCC